AGAACGAACGCUGGCGGCAUGCCUAAUACAUGCAAGUCGAACGAACUCUUCGGAGUUAGUGGCGCACGGGUGCGUAACGCGUGGGAAUUCUGCCCUUGGGUUCGGAAUAACAGUUGGAAACGACUGCUAAUACCGGAUGAUGACGAAAGUCCAAAGAUUUAUCGCCCAGGGAUGAGCCCGCGUAGGAUUAGCUAGUUGGUGAGGUAAAGGCUCACCAAGGCGACGAUCCUUAGCUGGUCUGAGAGGAUGAUCAGCCACACUGGGACUGAGACACGGCCCAGACUCCGACGGGAGGCAGCAGUAGGGAAUAUUGGACAAUGGGACA
rnacentral:rRNA from 1 species